rnacentral:rRNA from 1 species
UACAGAGGUCUCAAGCGUUGUUCGGAUUCAUUGGGCGUAAAGGGUGCGUAGGCGGCGCGGUAAGUCUGGUGUGAAAUCUCGGAGCUUAACUCCGAAACUGCAUUCGAUACUGCCGUGCUUGAGGACUGGAGAGGAGACUGGAAUUUACGGUGUAGCGGUGAAAUGCGUAGAUAUCGUAAGGAAGACCGGUGGCGAAAGCUAGUCUCUGGACAGUCACUGACACUGAGGCACGAAGGCUAGGGGAGCAAACGGG